rnacentral:rRNA from 1 species
UACGGAAGGGGCAAGCGUUGUUCGGAAUCAUUGGGCGUAAAGCGCGCGCAGGCGGUCUUUUAAGUCUGAUGUGAAAGCCCCCGGCUCAACCGGGGAGGGUCAUUGGAAACUGGGAGACUUGAGUGCAGAAGAGAAGAGCGGAAUUCCACGUGUAGCGGUGAAAUGCGUAGAGAUGUGGAGGAACACCAGUGGCGAAGGCGGCUCUUUGGUCUGUAACUGACGCUGAGGCGCGAAAGCGUGGGGAGCAAACAGG